rnacentral:rRNA from 1 species
UACAGGGGGGGCAAGCGUUGUUCGGAAUUACUGGGCGUAAAGGGCGCGUAGGCGGCCUUCUAAGUCAGACGUGAAAUCCCCCGGCUUAACCUGGGAACUGCGUCUGAUACUGGGAGGCUUGAGUAUGGGAGAGGGAUGUAGAAUUCCAGGUGUAGCGGUGAAAUGCGUAGAUAUCUGGAGGAAUACCGGUGGCGAAGGCGGCAUCCUGGACCAUAACUGACGCUGAGGCGCGAAAGCUAGGGGAGCAAACGGG